CAAGAUGGUGAGCCAGGCUCCCUGUUAUGGGAUACCUCAGGACAGCUGUUUAAGAUUCCCUUCAUUUUCAUGCUUCACUUCUUGCCUCUUUAGCCUUUGCUGGGGGCACUCCCAAAUUACCUGCCCACCCUCUUUAAUGGAUUUUUUAAUAGUCUUUAUUUUUUGAGACAUUUUAGGUGCACAGUAAAAUUGAGCAGAAGUUGCAGAGAUUUCCCAUGUCCCCUCUGCUCACACACACACACACACACA
rnacentral:lncRNA from 1 species